UCCUGGAUCCAGCCCAGUUCUGGUUUAGUUUUGGGAUUCCUGAGUCCAUCCCAGUCCUGGUUCAUUAUUUGUGAUUCCUGGGUUCAUCCCAUUCCUGGUUUAUUAUUUGGGGUUCCUGGGUACAUCCCAGUCCUGGUGUGUUUUUUGGGAUUACUGAGUCCAUCCCAGUCCUGGUUUAUUUUUUGGGGUUCCUGGCUCCAUCCCAGUCCUGGUUUAUUUGGGAUACCUGGAUCCAUCCCAUUCCUGGUUUAUUAUUUGGGAUUCCUGGCUCCAUCCCAGUCCUGGUUUAUUAUUUGGGAUUCCUGGAUCCAUCCCAGUCCUGGUUUAUUUUUUGGGGUUCCUGGCUCCAUCCCAGUCCUGGUUUAUUUGGGAUACCUGGAUCCAUCCCAUUCCUGGUUUAUUUUUGGGGUUCCUGGCUCCAUCCCCCACUGCCCCUGGGCAUUUUCCUGCUCUCCCAGCUCCAGGCAGGGAAUGAAUUCUCCCUGCAAUGAAAUCCCUGCAGUAUCCAGCCCUUGGGAAUGUUUGGGAUCUGCAAAGCCCAGGAUCCUGUCCCGGGAGAGGAGCAGGUCAGGGCAGAGGUGAAAACGUGAAAACACCCAAAAAUUCCCUUUAAUUUGGGGCAGGAUCAAACCCCUCCUCCCAAACCUGCUGGGAACAGAGGUGAAAAUGUGAAAAUACUCAAAAACUCCAUUUAAUUUGGGGCAGGAUGAAAUCCUUCCUCCCAAACCUGCUGAGAACGGAGGUGAAAAUGUGAAAAUACCCAAAAACUCCCUUUAAUUUGGGGCAGGAUGAAAUCCUUCCCACCCUUCCCCAAACCUGCUGAGAACACCUGCUCCGUGCUGCACGAAUUUGGGGUUUUUUUUGGGGUUUUUUGGGGUUUUUUUUUAAACUCCGGUCCUGCUUGUACAAAACCCCUUUUGCCAUUAAAAAAACGUGGAGAUUUCCAA